UUUCUUUCAGUGAAAGCAGUACUGGAAACAUGAAAAGGUGCCAAAAUUUGAGAUCAGUUUUACUUUAAUCACUUACAAGAUAUAGAAUCACUUUCUUAUUUCAAUGCUAGUUGAAAAAUAGAACUGAUUUUGAUUUAUAUUUCACUUAGACUUAUGAGGUUGCUAUUUAUGUUUGUAAGUGAGUGCAUGACCAAAAUGAAUGGAACAACUCAUAUGCUCUAGAAAAUAGAAGUCCAUGGAUCUACUGGAUGAAAACUGUUUUAUUGAUUUCAAGGGGGUUUAAGUCAUUCCAUACAAAAUACUUCAGGGAAAAAUAGUGACAGGUGUAAAGAAACUAUAUAAAAGAUAUUAACAUAGACUGCAAUGCAUUCUUGCAAUCAGAGAUAUUCUUGUCAUAUUUCAGUGAUGGGCAAUUUGAAUUAAUUUUGCACAGAAAUAUUUACGGAUAUGUACUAAGAACAUAUAAAAAGAGUAUUUAGGAACAUAUUUUUUUUCAUUUCUAAUUAAUUAUAUAUGAACAAAAUAACAGCUGGUAUAUAAUUUAAAAUUUGGCAGUUGCAAAAAUUAAGAUUAAGGACACAGUUUCCAAUAAUUUAAAAUCUUAAGUUAAGGUGAAGCCUUGUGUUAUGUUGAUAAUAAGCAGAUCCAAAUAAGGUAUUAUAGAAAUUUUAGAUUAUAUUUAUUAAAAAAAAAGCCUGAUUAUUUUUCCUGUGCAAUUUUUUCAGAAUAUUUUUGUUGUAAUAUUUUAGCCAAGUAGGAGGACUUCUGUUUCAAAAUUUCUAAAUAUUUGUAUUUUUCUUUUCAUUCUUAUUUUCAUUUAAAGGUUCAGGUUGUUUCCUCUGGGCCAGAAAAAAAAUACAUUAAAACAGUAAAAAUAAAAUUGCUGCAGAACUAAGUCAUUGCAAGUGAGAUGAAAAAUAAAAAAAAUACAAAUCACAAAAAAACCCCUCAAAAACAGGAUCAUAGUGCAUUAGCAACAAUGCUUGCAGAUUCAUUAUGGCUCACAACAAAGUGACUGACCAACCUCUCAGUGAAGCACCUUUUCCUGAUCUGGUUCUGGUCAGAACUUCCCCUGAUGGAGCUUCAUUCCAGUUCCUCAUGUCCUAUUGCUAAUCACCAGAGAGAGGAGAUCAGUCCUUCCCCUCUUCUUGAGGAAGUUGAAGACUGAGAUGACAUCUUUCCUCAGCCUUUUCUUCUCCAAGCUCCAACAAACCAAGUGACCCUGGCUGCUUCUCCCUGCCUUUCACCAUCUUGGUCAACCUUUUCUGAAUGCUCUCUGAUAGUUCCGUGGUCUUCUUAUGUUGGGGACAAUAAUAUAAAUGUGAAAAUCAUGAGAGCAAUUUGAACAAUGGUGUGACAUGAUGAGGAUGCUUUACUUAAGAACCUAGUGGAACACGUAACUCCACCUGGAUAGAACCCCAUUCCUGGCAGAAAUUUAUUGACAUCCAUAGGCUGUCAUUAGGGAAAUGGAUCUUCCACUUAAGAAAAUGUGUUCUAAAUUUAUAAAACUUUUAAUUUCUGUCUAGUAAAAGUAGUUUCAGCAUAUUCCAGUCUACUUUAUUGAUUUUGAGAUUACUUUUGGAACUAAAGGUGAUGUGAGGAAUUUGUCAGCCAACUCAGUCAAAACCCCCACUUUUAAUAUCUGUCAUCUAGUGUGUCAGGUUAUUUCCCAAGUUCAAGUAAUAAACUGAUAAACUAAGGAUGUAUUAGACACAGAAGAAGUACACAAAAGAUGAUAUUGAUUUAAUUAAAACAUUAGAUUAGAAUCAUAUACAAUCAUAUAAACAUAUAAAUAUCAUAUACAAUCAUUCUUUUAAGCUAUUUUUUUUAAGCAAAACAUGCAAGGGUUAAAAUUCUUAGAGCAAAAAUAUCUUCCUUAGUUCCACAUAUUUUUAAUUUUAAAGUAAAUGUGUUAACAGAAAGGGGACUACAACAAACUGUAAUUUUAAAGUUUAGCUAAGUUUAAAUAGCAAUAGAAUAGUCCUUCCAGCAUGCUUUACUAUUUAAUGUAAAUUCCUCCGACCCAUCCCCCAAGUUAACUUACUAUGCUCUUUUAAGAAUUUAACAUUUUAUAAAGAUGAAACAUUUGGUACAACUUUUAACAAUUUAAGAAAACAAUAGAAGAUGAUGGUUCUAGGAAAUUAUUAUGUUAAGGGUUUUUUUCAGUUUUUAGUGUCUAAUUGUAGUAGCCACAAUUUAGGCAAUAGCCACGUAUGGUUCUGCCAGGUUCAAAGAUAUUAUUCUGCAUCAAGCCCUGAAAGAUUUUGUUCAGUUAUGCAAAUGCUCAUUCACUUGAGUAGCCUUUAUUCAUAUAUGUGAUCGUAUUCAACACAUUGUUUUAUGAUUAAUCAAAACACUGAAGUGUCGCAAAAAGAGUACCUUCUCUUUUCUUGUGUUUUUGCACAAUUUUCUGUACAGGCAAAUAUUCUUCAGAAACUAUUUAAACUGCUUAUUAUGCAUAGCAAAGCAUGCCUGUAAAACAUUUUGUGUCUCUAUUUCUACAACAAUAUGUAUUAUUUUUAAUCAUUAUAAUCGGAAGCUUCAUUGUUCUUGAAAUACUGCUUUGUUAAUCAGAUUUCUUGUACUUAGAUAAAUAUUACUUUGCAAAUACAUAGAAAAGAAUGUAUAGAAAAUAUCAGUCCCUCAAACUUUUGUGUUUUUCAAGUCUGACUUUUGUUAAUUAUCUUUUGGACAUUGUGGGUAAAUUGUUCAUUAUUACAUUAUCAUAAUGUGGGGGAACUGGAUUGCACUAUCUCCAAAGAAUAUGCAUUACAUCAAAAUGGAUUACCUAAAACUGGUUGAAAGCCAUUUUUCUCAUCGUUGCAAUUGUCACAUUAGUGAAAGAAAACAGUCAGCAUUCCAUGAACAUUUUAUUUCUUUAGAAUCUCUAAGAUUUCCCAGGAGAAUAAAUCAUAUAAUCAAGCAAAAGUGCUUGGUGUGAUCAAUUCUGCAACACUGCGUUGCUUUUUCUGGAAAGUCAUUUAUGAAAUAAUUAACUGUAUCCAUGUUAUUCAGUGUUGUCUACAUACCUUAAUAAAACAUAAUGACAGCAGGCAUUGAUCAUGGAAGUUUGAACAUUAUUUUAUCGUGAUUGUUUUCAAAAUUCAGUUUGAUGAAAUGAACAUUCUGGGUAAAUCCAGUUACCUGAGAAUAAACUUAAAAACUGUAAUUACUUUAUGAAAAUAAAGAGGCAUAUCACAUG